rnacentral:misc_RNA from 1 species
ACCAAAUGUUUAGCCAAAUCUUAAAUUUCAUCUAAAAUUUUGCAAUAGUUUGCAUAAUUUUUUAAUACAUAAUAUCUAAAUUAUUUUGUAAGUGAAUUUCUAAACCUCAAUAAUAUGAAUGGUUAGCUUAACUCCCAACAUAACCAGCAACAAAUAUUCCUAUACCUUAACAUGAUACUCAACUAACCUUAAAUCCAAAAUACUUGGGAUCAGUUUUAUUGAUCCUUUUAAUGCAUUCCAUCCAGCUUAGAGCCAUAUCUUUAAAAAGAUCUAGAGUCUUAAAUCCUUUUCACUGCUUCCCCCAGGUCAUUUUAAAUCUGCCUCUCAUUUUCCUUUCUCAUGCAAUGCAACUUCAAUAUGCUUAAUCUUCCACAUGGUUCAUUUGUUGAUCUAUAAUGGACAUGUAUAAAGAAUCUCAAAUCUUCCUUCAAAUUUUUUCUUAAUGGGUAUUACUUCUGUCAACUUUUUCAUCUUCCUACAAUGUAUUUACUCUUUAUUUGGCCUCUUCUUUUACUUUUGCAUAUGUCCUAAUAUUUAUUUGCAGUAGUAGUAUGCAAAUCCUCUACGGUCUUUAAUCACCACCCAAUGCUCACUAUCAUAAACCAUAGCAAGCCAAUUACUUAAUUCACAAUAGUAAAAAACUUCUCUUUCAACUUGGUAUUUGCAAUUCAGAAGGAUUCCUAUAACACACCUUGACCUUAACCUUUCUACUUCAAUUCUAUAAUUGAAAUCCAUCGUUCACUUCAAGUAUCCUUUUGAUAAUGCAACCUAGGUUUCUAAAACAUGUGCUUUGUUUGAACCUCUAAAUCAUCCAAACUAACCCGCUUUGCUCGCUCCGCUUACAUAGCUAUAAUUGCAGUGAAACAACUAAUUUUGUUGAUGAGUACACCUUGCCCUAAUUUAAUACAUAUAAUAAUAUUCUAAUGACUAAAAGGUGCCACAUUCGCUUGAAAAGACAUGCAAAUGAUAUUCUAAUGACUAAUUUUCCCCUACACUAUCCAACUCUGAAUCUAGUAUAGCUCCCAACCAGCUAUCUGCACAACACCAUACUCCAUUUUGUUCAUACAAAUCAGAUUCCAACAAAGAAAUAGACACUAAAUCAGCAACGCAGCAACUAAAACAGCAAGAAUUAGCAAACCCCAAAAGCUAUUAUUCAAAUAACAUAUGCAAUCCAAA